GACGAACGCUGGCGGCGUGCUUAACACAUGCAAGUCGAACGGAAAGGCCCUGCUUUUGUGGGGUGCUCGAGUGGCGAACGGGUGAGUAACACGUGAGUAACCUGCCCUUGACUUUGGGAUAACUUCAGGAAACUGGGGCUAAUACCGGAUAGGAGCUCCUGCUGCACGGGGGGGGUUGGAAAGUUUCGGCGGUUGGGGAUGGACUCGCGGCUUAUCAGCUUGUUUGUGGGGUAGUGGCUUACCAAGGCUUUGACGGGUAGCCGGCCUGAGAGGGUGACCGGCCACAUUGGGCCUGAGAUACGGCCCAGACUCCUACGGGAGGCAGCAGUGGGGAAUAUUGCACAAUGGGCGGACGCCUGAUGCAGAAACGCCGCGUGCGGGAUGACGGCCUUCGGGUUGUAAACCGCUUUCGCCUGUGACGAGGCGUGAGUGACGGUAAUGGGUAAGGAAGCACCGGCUAACUACGUG
rnacentral:rRNA from 1 species